AGGCUAGCAUCCUGCCUUCCUGAGCAUCUGAAAUGAAGCCUCUUCAGGUCCAACACCUGAGUCCUUGAGCUGACAAUACAGAAUUUGAGCUUCCAUAUUCAUUUGCUAACUCCUUCCUCUGCUGAGAAGUCUGCUUUCAUGAAAUUGCAUGGCUGACAAUCAUUUGGCUCCUUGGGCUGAUCCCCAAGACCAGCAGCAUUAUGGGAAGGCACUGGGAAGGAGCUGUGGAGGUCAGGAAGACGCUCCUGAUCACCAGUUUCAAUGAGCACAGGAGUGAUGGGCUUUGUGGGCCAUUUCAUUCUGGAGUGUCAAGUAAACUAAGGUCCUUGCAGGCAGAGACAUUAACCAGAACGUUCAGAGCAGAAGCAGUAUAAUUCACCACAUGAAAGAAAACCUUCACUAAGUUAAAAUCUUUGCUGUGCUGGGGCAUUGAAAAUAUUUGGUAAAUAAUCUUCAUUCC